rnacentral:lncRNA from 1 species
CUCCUUCCUGUCUCUCCCUCACCCCCUGCUUCUCUAAGUUAACACUUGCAGCUGAGAUUUUCUGCUACUUCCCAGUUCUCUUCCCUUGCCCUCUGUCCCUUGACCAACCUCCUCUCCUUCAGAGCCCAGCUAAGGCUCAGGACGGCAACUGCAUCUUCCUGACUCAACACUCCAUCCUGACCCAAGGGACUCCCCUUAGGUCAGCAACACUUGAGGCUGACUCAGUGCUUGGCUGGGCCCUUCCUGGGAUAGGAAUGUGUUCAUCCCCAGAGCCAGCCACACUCCACUGUCAAGGGCCCAUGCUCAAUCUGGCUGGGGUAAGGGGCUUAUCUGUGAUUGCAAUUAAG